rnacentral:lncRNA from 1 species
GAGCCCAAUGGAGCAUAAAUUUCUUCUUACAAAAAGACGGUAGCAUGCGAGGGUGGGAAAAGUACUGAAUUUUCUGUAGAACCGAAUCAAUGCAAUGGCUAUCGUUCGUCCUAUAAAAUGAGAGAAACUAGGCGUCGUACUUGCAGAGGUUCUCGAAACCCAUGUAGUCCUAUAAAAUGAGAGAAACUAGGCGUCGUACUUGCAGAGGUUCUCGAAACCCAUGUAAUCGUGGUUCUCAAUCUUCAAGAUCAUGUUAGUUAUGCCAACUCCACCUAUCAAACCAAAGCAAAGUUGCAUUAAGAACAAAAAAAAAUGUACUUCACGGUUUUACCAGUCCAACCAAUGGGGGGAAAGAAGCU